AUAAAAAAGAACACUUAUUGUAUUAAUGGAAAUUCUUAUGGUUCAGCUGGAGUCGUUACUGCUUCUAGUAAUCAGCGAAACGGUGAACGUGUAAAAACUGGUGACGUAUUUAAUUAAUAUACAAACUAUAAAAUAAAAUUGCAGUUAUACUGACUUAGUACGUACUAAUUUCUUUAACGUGAAAAUUGUUGAUUACUUGAUUAUUAUUUUAUUGUUAGUUGUUAAAAUAUUGCAUUAUAGUUUGUAUUUUUUGCUGCAUCAUGUGUAAAGAAUUUACGAAAAUUAUCACCAAUAUUGUUCAUCCACAUCAUUACUGUGAAUGGUAAGAUUAUUUUAAGAAUAUAUUCGAAUCACUACAUCAUUAACAUUUCACUACAUAUUGAUUCAAGAUUUAAUAUCAACCAGAGUUUUGUAUCAAGAAGAUUUCGCGUGAAAUUAUUCAUCUGAUGUCUGUACCUUGUAACAAUAACCCAAUAAAGACUACGAAAUAAAAUCUUAUAACAUCUGAGAACGUAUUUAAUUAAAAUAACUGGAAUCUUUUAAAUUUAAAAUGCUAAUGAAAAAAAUUUUAUUAAUUUUUUUAUAAACCUUGACACCUGAGGUUAUAAAAAGUGUCAUUUAGUCAAGUGUAGCUUAGUCUUUAAAAUGAUUCGGUACAGUUUGGUUUUCUUGCUGUUAUCGGUAAUAAGAUGUGAUAAAGUUCAAAACGAUGUUCAUAUUCCUAUUAAUUCAACCUUGUAUUGUAAAGUUGGGUUCAAUAAAAUUCAACCACCAAAUUUUCAUUGUAUAGAACAUGCGGGUUAUACUGGUUUUAAUUCCACUCAUUCAUGGUUUAGAGAAAAAAAUUUUUUAUGCACAGCGACCAUUAAGGAUAUAAAAAGGUCCGCUCGAUCUUGUUGGAACUAUCAAAGUCAUGUUAGUAUUAGUGUGAUGAAUGCUCCAGCAAAGUAUGGAACAGAUCGAUAUGGAAACGUAUUAAAAGAAUUGCAAGUGUAUGGUUAAAAUAUGAAAAAUCUUUUCAAAUAAAUUAUACUUUUAUCAUUAUUUAAUUAAAUUGGGAAAUUACAUCACAUGUUGUGUUUUCCUGGUAAUAACGUAGAUUAAUAAGUAAUCAGUUUCGUCAAAAAAUAAAUAAUCAAGCACGUUAACUUGAUAUCAUUUUUAAUAUAAAUAUUUUGUAAUAAUAUCUAUUUUCUUAAUAUGGUAAUAUUGACAUUUAAAGUAACUAAUUGAUUAACAUAAACUGGUAAAUUUAAAGCCGUGACACCACAUUUUAUAAAAAAUGAUUUAUAUU
rnacentral:misc_RNA from 1 species